rnacentral:tRNA from 2 species
CGGAGCGUGGCGCAGUCUGGCAGCGCAUCUGCUUUGGGAGCAGAGGGUCGCUGGUUCAAAUCCAGUCGCUCCGACCA